CUGUGAUAGAAAACGUAAAGCCCUGUGAUAGAAAAGUAAAGCCCUGUGAAAAGAAAACAAAGCCCUGUGAAAAGAAAACAUAAAGCCCUGUGAAAAGAAAACGUAAAGCCCUGUGAUAGAAAACGUAAAGCCCUGUGAAAAGAAAACGUAAAGCCCUGUGAUAGAAAAAGAUGCAUGGAAUGGGAGUAUGAAAACUAUGGACUAAAAUCGUUGGAAACUUCUUUACCAAAAUCUUUAAUUCUAAGUCAAACAUGUAUUUUGGAGUGAUAUUGUUGACAAACAGAACUGUUUCAGUCCCCCAAAAAUUACUUAUAUUAAUAAGUACACUGUUCCCAAGCCCUUUGCAGUCACACAUUUUCCUCCAAAAACCUCACUUCACGUUUUACCACUACCCCUUCACGCUCUCUCUUAAUGUCCCACCACCCUCCCACCCCAUCUGCAACCCUGUGUUUUAUUACUAUUGCGCCUAACCACGGAAUGUAAAGGUCCUAACCUUUACUGUGCAGACACAAAUUCCCUUCAAAAACCUCUCACAACAUGCUAGCACUACGCCUUCUACACCUUAAUUAUCUCUCACCCCCACCUCCAGCCUGUCUGCAACCCUGCUGUGUCCCUGUUAGGUCCUAACCCCUCUCUAGGCACAUUCCUUCCCAUGGGUCCUCUCACAUCCUCCCAUUCUGCUCCCUGUCAGUCAGGUGGGUGGUAACAAGACUCACCCCCAGGGUAACUACUUCGCCACUAUGGCCUAUUUAUUGCCUUACCUCCUUACUUCCUUAGCACACACUGUAUACAGAUGUUUCUAUUGUGUUAUUGACUGUACGUUUGUUUAUCCCACGUGUAACUCUGUGUUGUUGUUUUUGUCACACUGCUUUGCUUUAUCUUGGCCAGGUCGCAGAUGUAAAUGAGAACUUGUUCUCAACUGGCCUAUCUGGUUAAAUAAAGGCGACAUAAAAUAAAAUAAUAAACUUGUCUAUCUGGGACCAGGUUUCCGAUGGAGAUUCUCAGGACGCUGUUGCCUCUCGGCCAUGUGGCUCUCAGCAGACUGCUGAACUGUGACGACUGCCUCCGAGCCUACGCAUACAGCCACAGCUCCCUCCUGUUUCAUCACUGUAAUCUGCAUCCAUAAUGUACAGGUAAGAUUUAGAUUAGUUAAGGGGUCAUAUGUGGGCAUGGCUUUUAUGCUGGCCCUUAGGUUAUUACAAGACCAACACUAUUAUUGCAUGGUCAUUACAUUGGAUAAUACAUUGGUAUUGGAUCACUAAUACAUAGCCCAUGUGGGUA
rnacentral:lncRNA from 8 species